GAAAUGCGAUAAGUAAUGUGAAUUGCAGAAUUCAGUGAAUCAUCGAAUCUUUGAACGCACCUUGCGCUCCUUGGUAUUCCAAAGGGCAUGCCUGUUCGAGCGUCAUUUGUACCCUCAAGCUUUGCUUGGUGUUGGGUGUUUGUCCUCUCUGGAGGACUCGCCUUAAAACAAUUGGCAGCCGGCAUAUUGGUAUCGGAGCGCAGCACAAGUCGCACUUCUUUCCAUGAAUGUUGGCGUCCAUCAAGACCCUUUUUUCACUCUUGACCUCGGAUCAGGUAGGGAUACCCGCUGAGUUUAA
rnacentral:misc_RNA from 1 species